UUUAGUGAACCUGGUCCUGAAACUCCCGAACGUCCUGGAGGCUCAGCGGUGUUCGUGCCGUCGAAUAACUAUUGGUAAUGCUAUGCGUUCGACGACACGGACCCGCUGAAGAACAAGGGAUCCAAGAUGGCCGACCGCCGCAUGGUCGGUAGUCGAACGACGGCCACCCAGGAGAGCCUCUAAUAACCGAUUGCAACAAUGUUGCAAUCGGUUAACUAGCGCCACACGCCUCUAAGUGUGUG